rnacentral:rRNA from 1 species
UGGAUAUCUGCCUUUUGGUUCGGAAUAACCCCGGGAAACUGGGGCUAAUACCGGAUGGUUCCUUCGGGAUAAAGAUUUAUCGCCAAAAGAUGAGUCCGCGCCCGAUUAGCUAGUUGGUGAGGUAAUGGCUCACCAAGGCGACGAUCGGUAGCUGGUCUGAGAGGACGAUCAGCCACACUGGGACUGAGACACGGCCCAGACUCCUACGGGAGGCAG